AUUGAACGCUGGCGGCAGGCCUAACACACGCAAGUCGAGCGGAUGAAGGGAGCUUGCUCCUGGAUUCAGCGGCGGACGGGUGAGUAAUGCCUAGGAAUCUGCCUGGUAGUGGGGGAUAACGUCCGGAAACGGGCGCUAAUACCGCAUACGUCCUGAGGGAGAAAGUGGGGGAUCUUCGGACCUCACGCUAUCAGAUGAGCCUAGGUCGGAUUAGCUAGUUGGUGGGGUAAAGGCCUACCAAGGCGACGAUCCGUAACUGGUCUGAGAGGAUGAUCAGUCACACUGGAACUGGGACACGGUCCAGACUCCUACGGGAGGCAGCAGUGGGGAAUAUUGGACAAAGGGCGAAAGCCUGAUCCAGCCAUGCCGCGUGUGUGAAGAAGGUCUUCGGAUUGUAAAGCACUUUAAGUUGGGAGGAAGGGCAGUAAGUUAAUACCUUGCUGUUUUGACGUUACCAACAGAAUAAGCACCGGCUAACUUCGUG
rnacentral:rRNA from 1 species